rnacentral:rRNA from 1 species
GACGUAGGAGGCGAGCGUUGUCCGGAUUCAUUGGGCGUAAAGAGCACGCAGGCGGUUUGGCAAGUCGGAUGUGAAAACCCGGAGCUCAACUCCGGACCUGCAUCCGAAACUGCCCGACUAGAGGUAGGUAGGGGAGAUCGGAAUUCCUGGUGUAGCGGUGAAAUGCGCAGAUAUCAGGAGGAACACCGGUGGCGAAGGCGGAUCUCUGGGCCUUACCUGACGCUGAGGAGCGAAAGCGUGGGGAGCGAACAGG